GUUCCCCUCCAGCGCCGGCAGAUGGGAAGUUCAAGAGUGAGGGUAUUGAGAACUGUGGAGCUGGAGCUGUAAAUAACUGUGAAUAUGAGCGAAUCAGAGAUGUGGCUGCAGGGGAAGCGGUGCCACGGUGUGACCAAACUGGAGAGUGGGAGAGAAAACACAAGUUUGGGGCUGGGUCCCCAGACCCCUCCUCCCUGCUGGCCCCUGGUCUGGGUGCUGUAUGCUGUUCUCCUUCCUCCUGGAUGCCAUCUGUACCUACGGAUUGAAGGGGCAGCCCAGAAAGCAAACCAUGUCCUGGGCUGCAUCCCAGAAAAGGAGCAACAAGGUGAGGGUGGGCUGUGCUCUGGUGAGACCCCACCUGCAGUGCUGCCUCCAGCUCUGGGGUUCCCAACAUGAGAAGGAUGUGGAACUGCUGGAGCAAGUCCAGAAGAGGCCACAGAGAUGCUCUGAAGGCUGGAGCAACUCCGCUCUGGAGCCAGGCUGGGAGAGCUGGGGAUGUUCAGCCUGGAGAAGAGGCAGCUCUGUGCCCCUUCCAGUGCCUAAAGGGGCUCCAGAGAGCUGGAGAGGGACCUGGGACAAGGGAUGGAGGGACAGGACAAGGGGCAGUGGAUUUCCACUGACACAGGGCAGGGUUAGAUGGGAUGUUGGGAAGGAAUUCUUGGCUGGGAGGGUGGGGAGGCCCUGGCACAGGUUGCCCAGAGAAGCUGUGGCUGCCCCAGCCCUGGAAGUGUCCAAGGCCAGAUUGGACAGGGCUUGGAGCAACCUGGGCUAGUGGAAGGUGUCCCUGUCCGUGGCAGGGGGUGGAACAAGAUGAUCUUCAAAGUCCCUCCAACCCAAACUAUACUAUGAAAGGGCUUUGGUCUGAGAUGGGAUCAGGUCUGGGAAAGCCAGACUGAGCAAUGUCUCAGUGCCAUCGACGGAGAUGGGGUGUGGGCUGGGAGCUGGCCCAGGCACAGUCCAGCUGGGAGGAGCAUUGGAGUCCAAAUCAUAGAAUCAUGGAACAUUAAGGCUUGGAAGGGACCUUAAAGAUCAUCUAGUCCCAACCUCCCUUGCCAUGGGCAGGGACAUAUCCCACUAGGUUGGGUUGCUCAAGGCCUUAUCCCACCUGGCCUCAAACACUUCCAGGGAUGGGGCAGCCACAGCUUCUCUGGGCAACCUGCUUUCAGAAGGGCCAGGAGAGAAGGAGGAAGGCAACAAGGAUAAUUAAAGAAAUGGAGUAGUUUCCACCCAAGGAACAACUAAACAGGUUGGGAUGCUUCACCCAGGGCAGGAAAUGACAAAGGGAUAAGAAAAAAGCAGGAAAAGCAAGGUUUUCUCUACGUUGGAGAAAUCUGGGUGGAUCUUCAUGAGCACAAUGGGAGAUCUGUGAUUCUAUGAUCAGAUGAACUGCUGAUAUAAAAAUGACAUAAAAAUUAUCUCCAGCCCCUUCUCCUGGGGCUGAGCACAGACCUGGGUACUGGAAGCACAUUAGGAUCAUAUGGUGGGGGUUUUCACCUCAAAAGCAACUGAAAUGUUUGGGCCAAAAUUUGCUCUUUUUCUCGUGAGUUUUCACUGUGAUUCUGUCCCAGAAGAGAAUGUUUCAUCUGCCAUGGGUUAUGUUUGACAGCACUGUAAGCAAAGGAAAAUUGGGACCCAGAAGGGCAGUGUCUGGAAAUGUUCAUCACGGAGGACCCCAUUUAUAAUUACAAAUAGACACAGUUUUGUACAAUUACACACCCCAGCCACCUCUGGGGGCAGUUGCUCAAGGUUGCCCCUUUUUUUCCUGAAAGCACUGGCAAUUUAUUUAUGAGAAGAAUUAUUUUAUACCCUCGGGAGAUUAUAAGGGUGUUGCUGUUGCUCUCUGAGAUGUCUUCAGAUCCUGCCCACCCCAGGAACAGCGAUAGAGCUUUGCAUCAGCUCCAUCUAUUGCAAGCACUGAAAUAUCAGGAAGAGGAGAGGAAUGGUUUCAGUCUCAACAGAUUCCUGCAUAAAAUAGAGGCUAAAGCACAUCUUCAAAAUGAUUGAGCGAGAACACUGCUCAUUACAUAAGGUUGUUGGGGGGAAAAAAUAGGCUGAUUUACAUUUUUAUAGGAAAUAAAAGGAGGUCUGUGGGUGACAUAGCACCUUCCACUGAGAAUGUCAGUGUGAGAUAAGUGGGCUUCAAAGGGAAGAGUAACUAUUUUCCUGUGGGGACAGAGUCCAUCCCAGAGAGCUGAAUCUGGGAGAAAGGGGUUUUUUAGAGGCAAUUUUUCAUCACCAAAGCAAAUACAUUUUGUUAUCACAGUAUGUACUGACUGCAAGGCUGCUAGUUCUCAGUUUUGAUGGUUCCUCUGAGUUUUGGUGGAGCUUUGGGUAGCAGGAAGACCGGACUGCCUCUGUUUUGUGGACGUGGUGUUUUCCGGGCAGGAGUUUCAGGCAGGAGGAGAGGUCGAUGUGCUUUUUGGGAGCGGGGGGAUUUUUCAGUGUCCACCAGAGCAGGCUGGAGUUUAGUGGUACUUUAAUUUCAUUCACAGCGAGUCACUUGGUAGGUUUUACCCUGGUUUCAGGUUGGUGGCCCUCUGAGAUUUGCUCUGCUGUGCUUCAGAUCCGCGGCUGUCUGGCAGAACAAUUCCGGUUGCUCAAAAGCACCGAUUAGCAUAAAUGAAGGAGUGGGUGAAAUGUUCAUUAUACUGCCUACUGUCAUGUUUGUGUACCAGAUUUUGUUACCAUCUGUCAUUUCUGUUUUCUUGUUGUUGCCAAAAGUUGUCAUUCUGAAUGGAGGGUGGAGACGUCUCUUCAGAAGCCAACGGGAGAUAAUUUGAGGUGCUUUGGAGCCCGCGUGUUCUGCGCCAGGUGUCAGCAGCCCGCACGUACAUCAGCCUCGCGCAUCUUCCGUAAAACCUGGGCAGUGGUUUAGUCAAAGGGGUUUUUAAAAUCGUUGUGGUCAUGCAAGCACACAAGAUUCUCAGCUCUUGUCAUUUAAGAGGAGUAUCUGGUCCUUGCAGUUGCACGGAAAAGCCUGAAAAUAAAAUAUGGUUUCCUUAAUGUCUAAGGAAAAAAAAAUAGAGUAAAAAGAAGGAGGUAUGUGGGGACAUCAAGGUGUUAAAAACCAAGCUCCUGUCCAGAGAUCUCAUCAAGUGAAGUGACAGCUCUGCUAUAAUGGACUACAGCAUCCCCACAUUAUUUCUAGGGAGGUAAAUGUCCCAGGGCCUGAAGCUGGACAAAUUCAGCCUUGAAAUGAGGCGCAGCUCUCUCGCAGUGACAGUCUGUGCACUGUGACAGCGGGCAAGGGGUGCAGUGCCUGUGUCGGGGCUCGCAGCCUUUAAAGCAAAAUUAGCUCAUUUUCAACUGCACGUCUUUAAAUCAGUGUCUGGGAGGAAGGGCUCAGCCUGCAAGUGGGGAGCUGGGAGGGGAAGCCACGAGGAUUUCUUGCCUUGCCCAAGCGCUGUGAGAUCACUCGGUCUGCGAGCUCGGUGCCCUGGGCCAGCUGGGGAGGGAGGGGAUUUGGGGUGCCUGGAUUGUCCCCCUUCCUUCAGGCUGGAGCACCAGGCUGGUGCUGUGAACUUUGAAACCUUCCCUGGCAGCGCCGGGGCUGUGCUGGCACCUCGUGGCUUCCCAUCUUGUCAGACAGUAGCUCUGCUCUCUUGAGGCUUUAAUCUGACCUGAGUGACAGGGCUCCAUGUUCACCCGAAAUGCACUGACUUGUGGCAUCCAAAAAUAUAGAAAAAAUGGUCUAAUGCCUUCAACUGGACUCAAACUCCAGGAAAAUACAAAGCCAGACAGUUUUGGGAUGUAUUUUUGUUGGUUUGGGCGCAGAUGAUGCAGGUUCAUAACCACAGCUCUGAAGAUGUCACAGUGCCACAGGGGGAACUCGCGCUGGCCUGCAGGUGCAGAGGGUCACUGCUUGCUCAAGGAGAGGUGGAGAAGGAGGAGAUGGAGCUGCCAUUGCUCUGGAAGAGGUAAAGAUCAUUCUGGGCAUCUCCGACUGAAGGCUGGGGGGAGACCAGGGCCAUGUCAUGACUGCAGUGGUUACUGGUACCUCUUUGCAGAUGCCUCAGGGGAUCUGUCUUCUGCACCUUCCAGUGCCUAAAGGGGCUCCAGAGAGCUGGAGAGGGACCUGGGACAAGGGAUGGAGGGACAGGACAAGGGGCAAUGGAUUUCCACUGCCAGAGGGCAGGGUUAGAUGGGAUGUUGGGAAGGAAUUCUUGGCUGGGAGGGUGGGGAGGCCCUGGCACAGGUUGCCCAGAGAAGCUGUGGCUGCCCCAUCCCUGGAAGUGUCCAAGGCCAGGUUGGACAGAGCUUGCAGCAACCUGGGCUGGUGGAAGGUGUCCCUGCCCAUGGCAGGGGGUGGAACUGGAUGAGCUUUACGGUUCCUUCUAACCCAACCCAGUCUAUGAUUCUAUGAAAAUCCUGUAUUUUACAAAGUCUUUGGCUGCUUUUAGGUUUGAGAUAACAGCUCUGUCCUGCUUUAACACUUCAAUAAUGUAAAUUGCCUUUCCUAGCUUGAAUUCUCCCCUAUUUUCUCUCUCCCAGAGGGUAACUGUACAAAGCUCACAAGCAAAUUCCACCCAGGAUUGCAGGAUGCUGCAAGCAUCACUGACAGCCGCUGUGAAGAGGCUGGGUCUGGGUUCAUUUCACAAGUGUGAAAUAAAUUUCAGAGCUCUCAUAUUCAAACCAGCCCAGUAAAUUGCCCUGAAUGAGCACCAAA